AGCGCAGAUGGCAGGCUGUCUGGCUGUCCGGCUGUCCAAGGUCUACGAUGUCCCCUGCAGGACUGAACCCCCUGUGGUCCUCAGAGACGCUGGAGCUGCCAUGCCAGCUGGACAGCUUUAGAGCCUGCAGAGCUGAGGAUGGAAGCCAGGGCCUUGCCCUUGCUGGACAGGAGCUUUAUCACUCUCACCAGGAAAGGCCAUGAAGGAGGAGGGUAGUCAUGGUGUGGAACGGAGAAUUGGAGGUGGAUGUGACCAAGGGCUGGGAUUUUAGGCCUUUGCCACUGUACUAGGUUCUGGGCCUGAACCCAGAGCCUGUUCAAGCUGGAGCUACAUCCUUCAAGCUGAGUCGUUUGGACCAGGGUCUAGCUGUAUAGGGCUCUGGCUGACCUGGAAAUACUCUGUAUAGAUCAGGCUGGCCUCAAACUCACAGAGAUCUGCCUGUCUGUGCCUCCAGAGUGCUGGGAUUAAAAGUAUAUA